GAUUCUGACGGGGUAGGAGAUUGGGCCGCCGGCCUUCCUCCCCUCGGCUUCCUUGUCGGCGGUGGUUGAUCGGUCCUCACUGCUUGCCCAAAUGAUCGGUCCUCCCCUUCGCUUCUUUCUUUUUCCUUGCUGCACAGUCUCUGCCGCAGACGUUGCUUCAGCCGGCGACGGAUGCUGUUGACGACUGGUGUGGCUUCUUCUGUUCCGACGCUGCUGUCUGUGACGAGUGGAGUAGUCGUCGCCGACGUCGACUCUGCUUCAGCCGUCGCCGCUGCAUACGUCUUCUUCGGAGUAGGGAAACGAAAGUUUGCGUCUUCAGAUUCAACACUGUCGUAACUUUCUUCGCAGGUAGCGUGAUCCCCAUACCUAUCCUCGAAGAAGUGGCGAAGGUGCUCACUAAAGAAGUGGGGGUACCAUUCACAUGGCCACAGUUGUAUCAGAUAUUUCAAUUCUUGAACAAAGACAUUUACUUUUCCACGAGGUACUCAAUACCUAAGGUGUGUAUUGGAAUGCUAACACCAAUGUGGUCAUGGCACCAGAGCAAGUAUGGAAACCCACUUUAAAGAAAAAUGAUUUGGCUUGCAGCUUAUUACUAUGUUGGGGAUCCCGAAUAUGCGAGAUUGAGAUUGUUGUCCGGACCACAAGAGAUUAAGCAGGAGAGUGCGCCACUUGUAAUCACAAUCUCUGACCCUACUGUGCCUGUAGAGGAUCUCAAUUUGAUGUUUAAGCCAUCUGGUGGAGUUGGAUUGGCACCGAGCGCGAAGCUCAACGUGUCCGUCUCUUCACCUCCCAUGCCCAAAGUGCCAAAGAUGAAAACGCAAUUUGUUUGGAGACUGCUUAAAAAAUGUGGGUAGUCAGUCCAACAACAAGGAAAGACAAGUUUACUACGUCCCAUAUUUGGACGUGGAUAUGGUGCCGCGUAUGGGGAAGAAAUACCCCCAAAAGCCGAGGAAAUUUCCUCCUAGCAAUUUAGGUUCACCAUAUGGAAGUUCAUGUGGC